UCAAGAAGAAAGGUUUGACGAGAAGUUGUCAAAUUUGAUUUGACAAGGAUUAACGUGUAAGAUUAAGGUUUUAAGCAUGACUAAAAUAAAUAGAAAUUUUACGAGUGUAAGGUUGAAGUAGGAUCUGGCAAUCGAAUAAAGAACUAAGGAUGACUAAUCCAAAUUAAAAUAGUAGUAUAAAUAGAGGAUUUGGGUAACUAAGUAGGAGAUGAUCAUAAUUUUGUUGAAAUAUUGAAGUGCUGCCACUUGGUCUCCGUGAGAAGACUUUGGGAGAAGAGAAAAGUUGAAGAGUGAGUGAUUUACUUUCAAAGUUUUGUGAGUGCUUUCCUUAAUAUUUUAUGUCAAAUGUUUCCUUAUAAAUCUCUACUAAUUUGAGUUAAUGAUUACGAUUCAAAAUGAUUCUAAAAGAGAUUUAUAUGAAAAAGUGUUAUGAUAUUCAAAGCAUGAUCUUAAUGUUUAUGAUAUAUUGUUUGCAAACAAUUAGUUACUUCCUUUGAAUAAGCUAACUUUUAUGUGCACCUAAAGAGUUAAAGGCCACCGUGAGUGUACAUGACUACGUGGUGAUGAAGUUGGCUAAUGUGUUGAAAGAAGCGUAUAAUGCUUAGCGGCAUGAGCAACAAGGACAAAACAAGAUACUCUCGAAUGCUGAUGAUUUAGUAGUCUAAACAAGAAGUUACAUGAUCUAACGUAGAGAGUGAUUCGGGAUCCUUGGCGAAAUAAAAUGGUUGCGAAAUGAUUUGUUAAGCAUAAAGAAAGGUUUAUGUGAAAUGAAAUAAUUUGUUGGUGUGCUUAAAUGACUUGAUAUUAUUUUUGCGAAAUGAUUAUGAAAAGGUAUUGCAAAAAGUUUUCAUAAAACCUUACUGAGUCUGUCAACUGACAUUUUCAAAAUCUAUAUUUCAGGAUCAAACGUUUAGGCUAAGUAGAGAAGAAGGUUGAAGGAUUUGCGCCGAAAUGAGACAGCUACUA
rnacentral:lncRNA from 1 species